AUGGGCAGGGGUCUUGUCAUGGGAGGUAGAGGUACCCAGAGUCCUUACCGGAAUCCACAGGAUGUGGGAUUCUUCUCUUGGCUGAUGCUGCUCAGUGGUGGUUCUUUCUUGUGUUUUACCAGAUUUUCUCUUGUGUCGGGGGCAGCCUGCAUGCUUUUCCUUGUGGCUAAUCUCCUGGGGCAAGUAUACCAGGUUCACGUGGAUAAAGGAGGGACUAGAGCUUCUGAAAGCAUAUUCCGCCUAUGGGACCACUCACUGCUCUUUGUAUUCAAAACACCAUCUUCCCGGAAAAACAAAGCUGGACCCUACCGGUUUGGGAGUCUGAUGCAGUGGACCCCCCAAGAACACUAAGCAAAGCUGUCAUUUACUUGUAUGGUCUUGAAUAUAAAUGUGAAAGCUGUUGGGACUUUCACAGUGAGAUGCGCAUCUGGCUGGUGUGGACAUGCUGAAGAGCCUGUUUCUAGAGGCAGAGCUGGGCCAGCGGCUUCCAGGCUUGGCAGAUGGCUUCCUGAUGCUUGCACUAGGAACGGCUGCCUUGGUGGUCCACUUCUGCAGCCCAGCUUUGGGAGCUGCUCCCGAAGAUGCAGCCCAGAGUCUGUUUCU
rnacentral:lncRNA from 1 species